rnacentral:rRNA from 1 species
UACGUAGGGGGCAAGCGUUGUCCGGAUUUAUUGGGCGUAAAGAGCGUGUAGGCGGCCUUGCAAGUCCGUUGUGAAAACUCGAGGCUCAACCUCGAGACGCCGGUGGAAACUGCAAAGCUAGAGUCCGGAAGAGGAGAGUGGAAUUCCUGGUGUAGCGGUGAAAUGCGCAGAUAUCAGGAGGAACACCAAUUGCGAAGGCAGCUCGCUGGGACGUUACUGACGCUGAGACGCGAAAGCGUGGGGAGCAAACAGG